GGGGACGUGCUGGAACUGGCAGACAGGCAUGACUUAGGAUCAUGUGUCGAAAGACGUGCGGGUUCGAUUCCCGCCGUCCCCACCA
rnacentral:tRNA from 1 species